AAUCUGCUGACUGAGGCUCUUUAAUGCAGUUUUGCAAACAACAUUUAAGUCCUGUAAAAUACCUUUACAUAUACCGUAGUCCUUUUUCUAAUAUUACAUUUUAUUUAGAGCUCAUAUAAAGUGUGAGAAAUACCGUAUGUAAAAGGGUUGUGCAGUGUUUUAAUGUUGAUGACCUAUCCUCAGGAUAGAUCAUCAAUAUCUCAUCAGUGGGGGUCCGACACCCGGCACCCCUGACGAUCUGCUGUGGUGCUUGUGUGAGUGCUGCUUCUUAUUCAAAAUUGCCUGCACUCCAUUUCCUUUGCAGCAGCGGUGCGGUAUUAUUACAGCUGCUAAUGUUUCACUUUUUUCUCCCCUUUUUUAUACUUUUUCUCUGUUUAUGUCCCACUCAUGGUUUUGGUUUACAAAUUCUGAUGCAAAAUACCGACCAAGUGAAAGCGGAUGGUAAGGGGUUAACGUGCACAAGCAAAACGUUUUUCUUUAAAGUUAUUGGACAUAAGGUCAUCUGGGCGGGGAGGGGUAAGUGCGUGUGCUGCGUGUUGGUGUUUUAGUAUUGCUAUACAUCUCACUAACUCAACAUGCCGGAUUAAGAAUGGCUUGUAAGACAGGGACUAUAUCCCCAGUGGACUAUCCGUGGUGACCAGUGCUGUAUGGAAUCAUCUACAGAGAUUUUUUAUGAAUCCUUGAAGAAAAAAAAAAAACUGUGUAUGGAGGGCAGGUCACAUCAGCUGUAUCACACACAUCGUAAACGCCAAGAUGUCUCUUUCCACUAAUUCUGGUUACCGUCACCAUCUACUGCCAUAUUAUCUGCUCAGUCAUCAUGUGUAGGUCUGACACUGGGAGGAGAGGUGGAUAACCACAAUUACCAGUUUCCGUGAUCAGGAAACAUGAAGAAUCAUGGACAUGGAUCUACUGUAUGUGGAUUCCAAUAGCAGCUAAAGGAUGCUGAUUGGUCCAAAUCUAAUACUUCUUGGGAUCUGCCUCUUGACAGUUACUGAUGGAAGUGAUUGCCCUAAACAAUGUAAAUGCAUAAAACUGACGAAUAAUACGAUACGGGUGGACUGCAGCUCCCAGAACCUGAAGAACUUUCCAUCCCUACCCAAGGAAACAGAAGAGUUGUAUCUACAGGAGAACCUGUUGACAGUAGUUCCCGCUGGGGCCUUCGAUAACUUGAUAAACUUAAAAAAGUUGAAUUUAUCCUCCAACCCAUUGCAUUGUGACUGCAAGAUCCAAUACUUAAUUAUGUGGCUAUCUGAUGGAAACAUGGACGGAGUCAGCGGGAUAAAAUGCGUCUAUCCCUCUGAGUUGUAUGGGAAACCAGUCAGCCAGUUAACAGGAAACGAAAUCACUUCUUGCUCGAGGCACACACGACUCUGUUCAGACUUUCUAUUUAAUGAUGCUUUUCUUUACGCUUUCCUUUUUCUCUUGUUCUUUCUAAUGAUCGUAUGCUUGAAAACUUUCAAAAUGAUAAAGUUUAAAAUCAAAGUAAGUGAUAAUGACUUUGAGUUAAGGACAUAUCAGACUCCUAAAGCUAGUUUUCUUAAGAGAAGAUCUAUUUUAUAUGUAAAAGGCUGUUAACCCAUUGAAUAGCUGAGAUACAGAUAUGUGCUUAUUUACUAAGAUUUUAUUUGCAAAUAAAAUGACAAAUACACUUGGUAUUACUGUCUAUGGGAAGAAA